rnacentral:rRNA from 1 species
GAAGGCCUUCGGGUUGUAAACCGCUGUYUCUARGGGAGGAAAUCCCCGGGGGCUAUCCCCCGGGGUUGMCYUWGCCUCGCAGUAAGCACGGGCUAAGUUCGUGCCAGCAGCCGCGGUAAGACGAACCGUGCAAACGUUGUUCGGAAUCACUGGGCUUAAAGGGUGCGUAGGCGGCCAGGCCAGUCGGGUGUGAAAUCCCUCGGCUCAACCGAGGAACUGCGCCCGAUACUGCUUGGCUUGAGGGAGAUAGGGGCGCGUGGAACUUCGGGUGGAGCGGUGAAAUGCGUUGAGAUCCGAAGGAACACCGGUGGCGAAGGCGACGCGCUGGGUCUCUUCUGACGCUGAGGCACGAAAGCUAGGGGAGCGAACGGGAUUAGAUACCCCGGUAGUCCUAGCCGUAAACGAUGAGCACUAGGUCGAGGUGGUUCCGAUGCCGUCUCGGCCGAAGCAAAAGUGUUAAGUAGGCCGCCUGGGGAGUACGGUCGCAAGGCUAAAACUCAAAGGAAUUGACGGGGGCUCACACAAGCGGUGGAGCAUGUGGAUCAAUUCGAAGCAACGCGCAGAACCUUACCUGGGUUUGACAUGCUUGGAUGGUUGCCUGGAAACAGGUUAAUCUGCCCUUCGGGGUGAAACUUGCACAGGUGCUGCAUGGCUGUCGUCAGCUCGUGUCGUGAGAUGUCGGGUUAAGUCCUUUAACGAGCGAAACCCUUGCCGUUAGUU